UGGGGAAUUUUGGACAAUGGGGGAAACCCUGAUCCAGCCAUCCCGCGUGUGCGAUGAAGGCCUUCGGGUUGUAAAGCACUUUUGGCAGGAAAGAAACGUCAUGGGUUAAUACCCCGUGAAACUGACGGUACCUGCAGAAUAAGCACCGGCUAACUACGUGCCAGCAGCCGCGGUAAUACGUAGGGUGCAAGCGUUAAUCGGAAUUACUGGGCGUAAAGCGUGCGCAGGCGGUUCGGAAAGAAAGAUGUGAAAUCCCAGAGCUCAACUUUGGAACUGCAUUUUUAACUACCGGGCUAGAGUGUGUCAGAGGGAGGUGGAAUUCCGCGUGUAGCAGUGAAAUGCGUAGAUAUGCGGAGGAACAGCGAUGGCGAAGGCAGCCUCCUGGGAUAACACUGACGCUCAUGCACGAAAGCGUGGGGAGCGAACAGG
rnacentral:rRNA from 1 species